CCUACGGGGGGCUGCAGUGGGGGAUAUUGCACAAUGGGGGAAACUCUGAUGCAGCCACGCCGCGUGGGCGAAGAAGUAUUUCUGUAUUUAAAGCCCUAUCAGCAGGGAAGAAGAAAUGACGGUACCUGAGUAUUAAGCACCAGCUAAAUACGUACCAUCAGCCGCCGUAAUACGUAGGGUGCAAGCGGUAUCCGGAUUUACUGGGUGGAACGGGAGCGUAGAGGGCAGUGGAAGUCUGGAGUGAAAGGCGGGGGCUCAACCCGCGAACUGCUCUGGAACCUGUACGGCUGGAGUGCAGGAGAGGUAAGCGGAAUUCCUAGUGUAGCGGUGAAAUGCGUAGAUAUUAGGAGGAACACCAGUGGCGAAGGCGGCUUACUGGACUGUAACUGACGUUGAGGCUCGAAAGCGUGGGGAGCAAACAGGAUUAGAUACCCUUGUAGUC
rnacentral:rRNA from 1 species